AUGGGUCGGGCACGACUUUGCGACUUACAACAACAACAAUCUUCAGUGAGGUUUACACCACCAUCCUACAUAUGUCUUCUCAGACAUAAUCUUCAAUAAAUUAAGUGGAAAUUAGAGCCAGAUGUUGUUCUCCUCUCUCAUUCUCCUCAACACAUCUGAAUACUCACCGCAUUUGUAUCUGUCACCUGCUUCUGUCAAUGAUGUGGUUAUCCAGGUAACUGAUGCUGCCUCAACAGAGUUCUUACUGGCUUAAGGAGUUGCCUCAGAACUCCCAACUGUUUGAUUUAUUUACCUUUUUUUCUGUAGUCCCCCCUCUCCUCAAAGAUAAAAAUGCCAUUCCUAAGGCAUUAGUUAUUGUUAUUAAGAGCUUUAAGCUAAAAUGCACUGGUAUUUUGGCCCUGCCCACUUCUGGAAUGCAGUUUGUUAGAGUCUUUCAAGAAUGGAAUCCAAUGUUCUGGCUGAACAAGGUUCUGCACCUCUGUAUAUCAGGGCAGAAUCGGGGCUUGCUUGGCAACUUGUCUGAUGGUUCAAUGCCUUUGAGUUUCCUAAUGUUAAAGCGAGGAUGCUAAAUUACAUAGUGUGUGUCACAAUUAAAGAGACUGUCAGCCCAGAAAAGGAACAAAUAAAGAUGGUACAUAAGAUUACAAUCAAGCCACAGGUAGAAAUUAAGUGAUCGUCUUGUUAUUAGAAGGAUAGUUUUUUGACAACACGGAAUUGUUUUCAACGUCCUAGCACCAUGACAUGGCACUGUAAACCAGUCUACUUUUCUGUGUUUUUUUCAGUUGCACAGGCUCUCCAAGCCUUUGAGUUUCUCACAACAGCAGGGUGUGUGCAAGGUGCCCUGGAUGAGUCAUCACAAUGAAGCAAUUUAUUUCCCUGCUGCAAUGCAUGCUUGCUCCUUUUAUUGACUGCUACCUCAUGAUGGUGUGUCAAAGCAUGUAGGCUAGUAAUAAUGAACUCUGCUGUGGGAAGUCAACCGAAGGGAGACUCUUCAGUUAAAACAACCCGCAUUACUCCUAAAGAGUAUUUAGAAACUACUCUCUGCACAGAAUCCUGAUUUUCUGUUUCUGGUACUCCUUGCUGAACAUGUGUGCAAAUACAUGUGAUCUGCAAUUAAGAUUUAAUAUUGUGAACUAGGAUAGCCAUGUGGUUUUUUUCACAGAAAGUCCACAUGGAGGACUGUGAGAAGAUGGGCCUUGAUAUUGAAGACAAUUUCUGUUUGAAGGACCUUCCACUUCAAGCCUGGUUUUUAAUAAAAAGAGUCAUCAGGAAGAAGAGUUGGGCCUUGAAGUUUCCCAUCGACAGUGCUGAGAAGGUGCAAAGGUCACCCUUCACACAAUGGUGGGAUAUAUUGUAUUUCUAUAUAAACUGCCAUUGUUUCUAAACUGUUUAUAUACGUAUGCAUUUUAAGCAAAUAGGUGCCCUCUUUAGCCCUCUUUCAUGGUGAUUCCAAAGGUAUAAACUAAAUUCUUAUUGCUUAGUAAUGUUUUAAAAAUGAAUUGCUGCACAUUCAGGUAUUCCCUUCUUAAGCAAGAGGAUAAUGGUAGUAGACUGUAGGGACAAUUUUGUUGAAUGUGUAUCUUGGAACUGGAUCAGUCAUUAAAUGACAAUGUGUGAGAAGUACAAGCCCUCUUCAGAGGAGGUGGUUCUUUCUUAAGAACUCAGCACAGGGAUGCUUCAUUGUUCAUAGAGCCUUUGUACCUCGUCACACAUAGAGCCAAAAGAUACUGGGUUAGAUCCUGAAUCAUUAUACAAUUCUUUGCAAAUCUCUUUAGAAGAAACCUCCAAUGAAUUCAGUGGAGCUUAGUCCCAGGUAAGCACAGCAAUUUUUAUCUGAACUUAGGACCAAUGCAAAGAAAUGGGACAUGUUGGUCAUGACUUAACUGGUUUGAAUCCAACCCACUGUCUUUAGUUUUACAUGACAGGCUAGGCCAUGAAAGAAAGGAGCAGUUCUCCAACUGUGGGGUCCCCAGCAUGGUGCUUAUAGGUACUAUGGAUAUUCUUGGUGCACCCCAAGAUUCAGCCUGCCAACCUGAGUCUCAUUUUAUUUUAGACAUUCAUUUUAUUUUUAACUGGGGGAGGGUCAUAGGCAUAGUGCAAAGCCAAAUAGUGUCUUCCAGCACACCACUAGGUUGAGUUUGUGUUUUGUGCUCAGACCCCACCUCGUCUUGUAUUAGGUGCUUGGGCACGUUACUUUUCUUUUACUGUAUAGGGCAUUUCUUUGCAAGAUUGUUUUUGUUGCUGUUGUUUUUUUAAACUAAAAGCUAAAGAUUGCAUUUUGGCUGGCUAAAGAUCUUUUGUUAAACUCAAGGUGUUUUGCAAGUUGGAGCUAUGUAGUCAGAAGCAAGCACCAUGGGGUUUGAUAGGAUACAUUAGAUUGCAGCCAUGCCCCGUAACAUAAUAAAAAAUAAAAAUAAAAUGAUAAUUCGCAUGUGGAUUAAACAAAACUGACUCAAUAAAGUGACAACAAAUUAAGGCAAGAGGCCUUUUCAAUACCCUUGGGUGUUCCAUAUAUAUACGUGCAGGACAAAAUCCUAUGCUACCUAUUUUAAACUCCCACAUUACACAGCUACAAAAAGGAAGCAAGUUUUAUAGUUGACUAUACAGUUGGACAAAAAGUAGGGGUUGGGCACCUGUUUGAUAUACACUGUUAAUGAGAGACUGAUGCCUCUGUUGUGGCAGAAUCCAAUGCAAAUUCCAUAUUUACAUGUGUUUAUAUUAUUUCUUCAUCGCAUAACACAAUCCUUGUAUCACUUAAAAGUGAAUUCCAUCUGAUGAUCAAACACUUUCGAAAUGCCAGCGGUGCAGAAUAUGAUGUGAUUCAACAAAAGUGAGAAAAAGUCUUGAGAAAUAAAUGCCACCAGCUGUUGUAAAGGUUUUGCCAAUUUAUUUUUACCUAGCUAUGUAUUAUAUUAGUAAGCUUAGUUUCCCAUUGACUCGCUUGAGUUUUCUUGUGGAUUAAGAUUGGAGGCAAGCCAUGCUUUCCUUCUGAAAUAUGCCUAUAUGUUUUCUCAAACAACUUCUCGGAAAAUGAGCCUUCUUGCAAAUCUGGAAUAGGGGUUGGAACCAGAGGCGUAGCUGCAAGGAAGUGUAUUCUGGCCUCUGCUGUUGGCAAGGGGUCCAAGGGCCACUGGGAGGAUAUUUUCCUUGCCUCCUAGGAAGAAUAUAAUGCCAAGGGACAGAUCGACCUGGCCCCAUCCAUCAGGCAGAGGAGGGGCAACUUCAGGGAGCUUGCCUCCCUUUUCCCAGCCAGGUGGAGCACUUUUAAGAAAGAUAUGUGUAACUAGAAACUCCCUGUAUCCAUCUAUCCCAGUAUUAAGCUCACCAGUGAAAGCCUUAUUAUGUUGUGAUAUAAGAAAGGGUCAUUGUGGAGAGCUGGUCUGGGUGCUGGCCACAUUUCAUACCAUGCUAAGACUUGGCUAUUUGUUAACUGAUUUGUUCUCAUUUGAUUGCUUGGGUUACUUUUUCGAUCUGUGUUUUGAUGUUGAAUGGUUUUAUAGAUGGAUGAUGUCUGAUGUUUGUUUUACUUGGAAUAGAACAAUUGAACUGAAUGGGAGUUAAGUUUAGCUAACAUUGGAUAUAGCCCAUUGCUGUCUCAUGUGCUGGCAGCCAUUGAUAUAAGGCACAUUGGACGUACUUCAAAGUAAAUAAAUAAACACAAGUCCAUGUUU